CCCAGGGCUAACCUGGGUAUGUUACUAACAUUAGUGCUCCUAACCCCAGGCCAAGCUGGGUAUGUUACUAUCAUUAGUGCUCCUAACCCCAGGGCUAACCUGGGUAUGUUACUAACAUUAGUGCUCCUAACCCCAGGGCCAAGCUGGGUAUGUUACUAACAUUAGUGCUGCUAACCCCAGGCUAACCUGGGUAUGUUACUAACAUUAGUGCUGCUAACCCCAGGCUAACCUGGGUAUGUUACUAACAUUAGUGUUGCUAACUCCAGGCUAAACUGGGUAUGUUACUAUCAUUAGUGCUCCUAACCCCAGGCUAACCUGGGUAUGUUACUAACAUUAGUGCUGCUAACCCCAGGGCUAACCUGGGUAUUUUACUAGCAUUAGUGCUGCUAACCCCAGGGCUAACUUGGGUAUGUUACUAACAUUAGUGCUGCUAACCCC
rnacentral:lncRNA from 13 species